CUGUUUAUCAAAAACAUGUCCUCAUGAUUUUAUUUGAGGUUAGGCCUGCCCGGUGAUAUUUAUUUAACGGCCGCGGUAUAUUGACCGUGCAAAGGUAGCAUAAUCAUUAGUCUUUUAAUAGGGGGCUGGAAUGAAAGGUUUAACGAAAAAUUAGCUGUCUCAAUUAUAGCUUUGAAUUUAACUUUUAAGUUAAAAGGCUUAAAUUUUGUUGGAGGACGAGAAGACCCUAUAGAGCUUUACAUAUUAUUUUGAUUAAUUUUAUUUAGUUAAAUGAUUUAAUUUCAGUUGAAUGUGUGUUUUGUUGGGGUGACAAGAAAUAUAUAACUAACUUUUAUUAUUUUUUAUCCAUUUAUUUAUGUUUAUUGGAUCCAGAAUUUUUGAUCAUUAGAUUAAGUUACCUUAGGGAUAACAGCGUAAUCUUCCUUCAGAGUUCAAAUUUACAGGAAGGCUUGCGACCUCGAUGUUGGAUUAAGAUAAUAAUUAGGUGCAGCAGCUUAAUUAAUAGGUCUGUUCGACCUUUAAAUC
rnacentral:rRNA from 1 species